GGAUGAUUUGUGCAAUGGUUUGUGGUUACUGGUUUGUAUUUCGCUUUCUCACUCAGUCGAGAGACCAUGGAUGAAUUGCAAGAAUGAACCAGAUGGGCAUGCUCUUCUUAUAAAUAUGAUGACCAUUGACAAUUAUCUCUUGGCUAUUCCUAUUCUGGUGUAUUCUAGAUGAAGCAGAUUUGAUGAAAAAAUUAUAUCCAGAAUGUGUUGAGACGCAUUAUGGAGAAUCAUUCCGAAGUGCAAGAUUGUUUAUGUUAUGCAAUUAUAAAUUUAUAACAGGAGAUUUAAGCUUCACGGUUCCAGUAUUUCAUCUCUUCAAUAAUUUCCUUUGGACAAAUUAGUAUCCCUAUCUUUCCCCUUCAGUGGCUACUUAUUUAAAGAGCCAAUGCUGGUAGUUAGUUUUGGCUUUGGGAAAGAUCAUGUGCCAUCGCCACCGCACCUAUUGCCAGCGCCUAGCAAGAUUUUGGCGCUUGGCAUACGGAGCACGACCCGCCGCAUUUCCAUGGCAUUGAGACGAGGUGUGUGAGAAUAAUCCAAAGAGGCCGCACUACACAAUUAAUCUAUGUGAUACUUGAAUCUGCAAGCUCUAGGUUGUCAAGGAAGCGAUUGUAAAAACUUGGUGGAUACGGCGCUGCUAGACGAGAGACAGUUAGGAAAGCAGCCCAUUGUCUAAAUUUAAUAAAAGGAGGCUGCUAUGACAGCGGUAUCUCUCUUUUCUAAUUGAACUAUGCAAGCUCAAAUAUUCGUUUUUUGCUACUAGUGAGUUUCUUCAAAGAC